rnacentral:rRNA from 1 species
CCAAUAGCGUAUAUUAAAGUUGUUGCAGUUAAAAAGCUCGUAGUUGAACCUCGGGAUCAAUGGGUCGGUCAUGCCAAUGGUAUGUACUGGCCUCAUUGGUUCUCACCUUCUAAGGAACCAUGAUGUCAUUCAUUUGAUGUUGUGGGGAAUUAGGACUGUUACCUUGAAAAAAUUAGAGUGUUUAAAGCAGGCUAACGCUUGAAUACAUUAGCAUGGAAUA